GGAGCUGUGGCUCAGUGGUUAGAGCAUCUGCUUUGCAUGCACAAGCCCCCACGUUUGAUUCCCCAGCAUCUCCA